rnacentral:rRNA from 1 species
CCUACGGGUGGCAGCAGUCGAGAAUCAUUCACAAUGGGGGAAACCCUGAUGGUGCGACGCCGCGUGGGGGAAUGAAGGUCUUCGGAUUGUAAACCCCUGUCAUGUGGGAGCAAAUUAAAAAGAUAGUACCACAAGAGGAAGAGACGGCUAACUCUGUGCCAGCAGCCGCGGUACUACAGAGGUCUCAAGCGUUGUUCGGAAUCACUGGGCGUAAAGCGUGCGUAGGCUGUUUCGUAAGUUGUGUGUGAAAGGCGCGGGCUCAACCCGCGGACGGCACAUGAUACUGCGAGACUAGAGUAGUGGAGGGGGAACCGGAAUGCUCGGUGUAGCAGUGAAAUGCGUAGAUAUCGAGAGGAACACUCGUGGCGAAGGCGGGUUCCUGGACAUUAACUGACAUUGAUGCUCGAAAGUGUGGGUAUCAAACAGGAUUAGAUACCCGGGUAGUC